UACGAAGGGGGCUAGCGUUGCUCGGAAUCACUGGGCGUAAAGCGCUCGUAGGCGGAUUGUUAAGUCGGGGGUGAAAUCCUGGAGCUCAACUCCAGAACUGCCUUCGAUACUGGCAAUCUUGAGUCCGGGAGAGGUGAGUGGAACUCCGAGUGUAGAGGUGAAAUUCGUAGAUAUUCGGAAGAACACCAGUGGCGAAGGCGGCUCACUGGCCCGGUACUGACGCUGAGACGCGAAAGCGUGGGGAGCGAACAGG
rnacentral:rRNA from 1 species